rnacentral:rRNA from 1 species
AGUUCCUACGGGAGGCAGCAGUAGGGAAUCUUCCACAAUGGGCGAAAGCCUGAUGGAGCAACGCCGCGUGGGUGAAGAAGGUCUUCGGAUCGUAAAACCCUGUUGUUAGAGAAGAAAGUGCGUGAGAUUAACUGUUCACGUUUCGACGGUAUCUAACCAGAAAGCCACGGCUAACUACGUGCCAGCAGCCGCGGUAAUACGUAGGUGGCAAGCGUUAUCCGGAUUUAUUGGUCGUAAAGGGAACGCAGGCGGUCUUUUAAUUCUGAUGUGAAAGCCUUCGGCUUAACCGGAUUAGUGCCUUUUCA